GAUGAACGCUGGCGGCGUGCCUAAUACAUGCAAGUCGAGCGAACGGACGAGAAGCUUGCUCCUCUGACGUUAGCGGCGGACGGGUGAGUAACACGUGGAUAACCUACCUAUAAGACUGGGAUAACUUCGGGAAACCGUAGCUAAUACCGGAUAAUAUUUUGAACCACAUGGUUCAAUAGUGAAAGACGGUCUUGCUGUCACUUAUAGAUGGAUCCGCGCUGCAUUAGCUAGUUGGUAAGGUAACGGCUUACCAAGGCAACGAUGCAUAGCCGACCUGAGAGGGUGAUCGGCCACACUGGAACUGAGACACGGUCCAGACUCCUACGGGAGGCAGCAGUAGGGAAUCUUCCGCAAUGGGCGAAAGCCUGACGGAGCAACGCCGCGUGAGUGAUGAAGGUCUUCGGAUCGUAAAACUCUGUUAUUAGGGAAGAACAUAUGUGUAAGUAACUGUGCACAUCUUGACGGUACCUAAUCAGAAAGCCACGGCUAACUACGUG
rnacentral:rRNA from 1 species